AGUGGCGGACGGGUGAGUAACGCGUGGGCAACCUGCCCCAUACAGGGGGAUAACAGUUAGAAAUGACUGCUAACACCGCAUAAGCGCACAGGGCCGCAUGGCCCGGUGUGAAAAACUCCGGUGGUAUGGGAUGGGCCCGCGUCUGAUUAGCCAGUUGGCGGGGUAACGGCCCACCAAAGCGACGAUCAGUAGCCGACCUGAGAGGGUGACCGGCCACACUGGGACUGAGACACGGCCCAAACUCCUACGGGAGGCAGCAG
rnacentral:rRNA from 1 species